rnacentral:rRNA from 1 species
UACGGGGGGGGCAAGCGUUGUUCGGAAUUACUGGGCGUAAAGGGCUCGUAGGCGGCCAACUAAGUCAGACGUGAAAUCCCUCGGCUUAACCGGGGAACUGCGUCUGAUACUGGAUGGCUUGAAUCCGGGAGAGGGAUGCGGAAUUCCAGGUGUAGCGGUGAAAUGCGUAGAUAUCUGGAGGAACACCGGUGGCGAAGGCGGCAUCCUGGACCGACACUGACGCUGAUGCGCGAAAGCCAGGGGAGCAAACGGG